CUCAAACUGAUUUAUAAAGUGUGAAACAACCGUUGUAACUCUCCCCCUCACGUUUGGACUCGAAACUUUUUAGUCGGCCCACGACGUGGGCUUGAAUUAAAUUGGAGGAAAUUAAUAUACUAGGAAUUUGGCGUGACUCGAACUCAGUACCUCUUGCUCUGAUACAUGUGAAACAACCGUUAUUCUCUAAAAGCUAAUUAAACUGUUAGAGAACGGUGUUUAAAUAUUUUUAUAUUUAACAUAAAGUAUAUCCCAUGCAUCACAUAAAAUCCAAUUAUAA
rnacentral:lncRNA from 1 species